AUUGAACGCUGGCGGCAGGCUUAACACAUGCAAGUCGAGCGGAGUGAUGGUGCUUGCACUAUCACUUAGCGGCGGACGGGUGGGUAAUGCUUAGGAAUCUGCCUAUUAGUGGGGGACAACACCUCGAAAGGGAUGCUAAUACCGCAUACGUCCUACGGGAGAAAGCAGGGGAUCACUUGUGACCUUGCGCUAAUAGAUGAGCCUAAGUCGGAUUAGCUAGUUGGUGGGGUAAAGGCCUACCAAGGCGACGAUCUGUAGCGGGUAUGAGAGGAUGAUCCGCCACACUGGGACUGGGACACGGCCCAGACUCCUACGGGAGGCAGCAGUGGGGAAUAUUGGACAAUGGGGGGAACCCUGAUCCAGCCAUGCCGCGUGUGUGAAGAAGGCCUUAUGGUUGUAAAGCACUUUAAGCGAGGAGGAGGCUCUUUUGGUUAAUACCCAAGAUGAGUGGACGUUACUCGCAGAAUAAGCACCGGCUAACUCUGUGCCAGCCGCCGCCGUAA
rnacentral:rRNA from 1 species